CCUACGGGAGGCAGCAGUCGAGAAUCAUUCACAAUGGGGGAAACCCUGAUGGUGCGACGCCGCGUGGGGGAAUGAAGGUCUUCGGAUUGUAAACCCCUGUCAUGUGGGAGCAAAGUAAAAAGAUAGUACCACAAGAGGAAGAGAUGGCUAACCCUGUGCCAGCAGCCGCGGUAAUACAGAGGUCUCAAGCGUUGUUCGGAAUCACUGGGCGUAAAGCGUUCGUAGGCUGUUUCGUAAGUCGUGUGUGAAAGGCCCGGGCUCAACCCGCGGACGGCACAUGAUACUGGGAGACUAGAGUAAUGGAGAGGGAACCGGAAUUCUCGGUGUAGCAGUGAAAUGCAUAGAUAUCGAGAGGAACACUCGUGGCGAAGGCGGGUUCCUGGACAUUAACUGACGCUGAGGCACGAAAGCCAGGGGAGCGAAAGGGAUUAGAUACCCCAGUAGUC
rnacentral:rRNA from 1 species